CCUACGGGAGGCAGCAGUAAGGAAUAUUGCGCAAUGGGCGAAAGCCUGACGCAGCGACGCCGCGUGGGGGAUGAAGGUCUUCGGAUUGUAAACCCCUUUCGGGAGGGAAGAUGGAAUGAGCAAUCAUUCGGACGGUACCUCCAGAAGCAGCCACGGCUAACUUCGUGCCAGCAGCCGCGGUAAUACGAAGGUGGCAAGCGUUGUUCGGAUUUACUGGGCGUACAGGGAGCGUAGGCGGUUUAGUAAGCCCUUUGUGAAAUCUCCAGGCUUAACCUGGAACAGUCGGAGGGGACUGCUAAGCUAGAGUACGGGAGAGGAGCGCGGAAUUCCCGGUGUAGCGGUGAAAUGCGUAGAGAUCGGGAGGAAGGCCGGUGGCGAAGGCGGCGCUCUGGAACGUUUCUGACGCUGAGGCUCGAAAGCGUGGGGAGCAAACAGGAUUAGAUACCCUGGUAGUCCACGCCUUAAACUAUGAAUACUAAGUGUCGGCGGUUUACCGCCGGUGCCGCAGCUAACGCAUUAAGUAUUCCGCCUGGGAAGUCGGCCGCAAGGUUGAAACUCAAAGGAAUUGACGG
rnacentral:rRNA from 1 species